UACGGAGGGUGCAAGCGUUAUCCGGAUUCACUGGGUUUAAAGGGCGCGUAGGCGGCUCAUGAAGGCUGUGGUGAAAGUCCGGGGCUCAACCUCGGAUCGGCCGUGGCGACUCGUGGGCUGGAGCACUGUAGAGGCGGGUGGAAUUCCGGGUGUAGCGGUGGAAUGCGUAGAGAUCCGGAAGAACACCAGUGGCGAAGGCGGCCCGCUGGGCAGUGGCUGACGCUGAGGCGCGACAGCGUGGGGAGCAAACAGG
rnacentral:rRNA from 1 species